CAAGCUCGUUGAUGUAGUCGCUGGCCUUUUUGGCGAGAGGAAAGUCCGGGCAGCACAGGAUACGGUAGUUGCUAACGGCAACCGCGCGCAAGCGUAGGAAAAGUGCCACAGAGACAAUACCGCUUCGGUUUUUAACUGAGGUAAGGGUGAAAAGAGUGGGGUAAGAGCCCACAGAUCUUGGUGGUGACAUCAGGGUGAGGUAAACUCUACUGGCUGCAAGGAGACCUAACAACCGUGAUCCGCGGAUGGUCGCUCACCGCUAGACCGUGCGAGCAAUCGUGCGGCUAGAUAGAUGACUACAGGCUUCUAUUUCGAUAGAAGUUACAGAACCCGGCUUACAAGACGGGCUUGUUUA
rnacentral:RNase_P_RNA from 1 species